UUCACUCCUCUUCCUCCUACUCGUCCUCCCCCUCCUCUGCCCAAUCCUCCUCCUCCUCCUCUUCCUAACCAGGCUUCACUGUUCACAUCAAAAGUCAUUCGACUCCUCCUUUGACUCAGUUGUUAUAGUAACACACCUCUCCCUGUCCCCGGUACUCACCUGAGAGGUAGUUAAGAAUGUAGAUGGGUUUCAUAACAUCACUCAAUAAGAGAGACAGCCUUGACGCAGGAAAGAGAGAAAGAAAAGCAGAGGAGAGGAUCGUUGCUGGGUUUUAUGGUGAAAUCACGAUUGGCGCGUUGUUGGUCGGUACAAGUUGGCCUAAAUGUAAUUCCCUGUCAGCCGCGACGUGAACUGUACCUCAUAACAUCCUGUCCUGCGGCCGUUACUCACUCUCAGACUCACUUGGAAACACCCGCCGACAGCAGGUCCUGCUAUUAGCUUCACACCAAGCUCAGCACUACACAUCGCAGGCCACUCGUACCGUGACUCAGACCUGCACGUGACUGCGCUGGCAUUUUUAAUACUGCGCAGUAAUGGCAGGCCGAGCUUUACACACGGACUCGUAGGAAAAGUAGAUCUCACUAAAGCCGACUUUUUGGCUGCACACUAAUGGGUAGAUUUGCAGUAGAAUGUAUCGCUCGACGUGGGCGUAAAUGGUCUGAUGUGCUCGCGCUGAUGCACAAAGCUCCUACGAAGACCCACAUGGUGCUCCGCUGCACCCUGCACUGCUCUGUGCCAGCACUGCACUCUUAUACAGCACAGGGACACAAAGCAAGUCUGCUUUUCCUCUCAGCUCAUAUUGUUUAGAGCAGUUGUUCCUAAUGUGUGGUGCCCAGAAAAAAAGGUGGUCUUGGGGAUCAGAAAGGUUGCAACUUAAUGGAAGGAAUUUAAAUAUGAACAGCCAAAACAUGUGGUGUUUUUACCUUUUGACAUUUACUGUUAAUUCUUGGUGGUCACAGUCAAAAAAAAGAUUGGAAACCACUGAGUUGGAGUAAGAACUUCUGAUAAAGCUCGACUUUGGGGAGCAGUGAAACCGACUUGUGAAGGAUUUUCCAAAAAGGCUACAAGUAUAAUAUCAGCAUUGAUUAAUCUGUUGAUUUUUUUAAAUUGUUUUGUUUAAAACAAUGUUGGAUAGUGAAAAAUAGAGAGACUUAGCGGAUUUGAGUCAGUUUUAUGUGAUAUUGCAUUAGGCUUGAUUGAAUGAAAGGGGACUGCUGGGCCUUAGCGGACUACUGAGUGCCAUUCUGGUUUUAACAAUUAUUAGAUUAUUAGAAUUGUUGAGUUUGAUUAAUUUUCUGUUGAUCAGUUUAUCAUUUUUAUUGUGUGUUCGGAGUUCACCGAAUCAGGCGGUUAAAAUCUGUUCUUUGCAGGAUCUUUGCCAGCAGCCGUCAAGUUUAAAAGCAUCCUAUUCCCACUUGAUUUGCCAUAUGUGGCCAUAUAAAUAUUGUAAAGGCAAAUAUUGACAGACCAACAAUAGCUGAUAGUUGCAACGAAGGGAAUGAAACAAUCAUUGAUAUAUAUUAAUUGUGAAUUCAAGCAGUUUUUGCAUCACUCGCUGCUCCUUUGCUGGGUGCCCUAAAACACUUGUCCAUGUCAGCACAGAGGCAUUAAUGUACCAAGUAUCUCCUUUUAAACGAAAGACAAGCAUGACCUGGAGGAAAGGUCACCACCUAAUCACCUGCCACUGACCCAACUCGAAUAAUUUUAAGUCAACAAGAAAACAGGAUUGACUCACAGCCAAAGUGACACACACACAUAGAGACACUUCACCUCAGCCAGAGGCUUGUUAGUUACGAGGUGAGAAAACAAAGGGUGUUAAGUCAGAAUUGGAUUUGUGUCUUAUUGGAGAGACGAGAGCCACAGUGCAGAAAGACAGCUCCAGCCUUUUCCACAGGAUCAGUGAGUGGAAGCACACUUGGAUGCGGCCGCCCAACUGUGAUAUGUUGACAGCUUGUCAGCCGAGAAGAGUGGCGAUGCUCCUCAGGUGUAGUGUGAAACAGACACCAAUGUGGAGCUCAACACCUAUCAGAGGCAUAUAACGGGAGAAGAAGAGGGUGGACAAGGUGACAAGAGGCAGAGAAAGUGUUGUCCGCGGCGUGCUGGUGCGGCUUUAUUGGAACCGUCACGUCGAGUGAGCUGAACAGCCUGCCCCAUCUGGACCCGGCCUCCUUAAUGCCCGACCGCUCCGAGCAUUCCUCCGUUUGUUUGUAAACAUUCCGCGGAUUGAAGCUUUCAUUAAGGGUGGAUAUUUAUGGAUGUUACGCUGAGAGGCUGCGAAAAUGUUCCCCGCAUCUCCUCUCUUUAAAGGAAAAAAAACAGAAAAAAAGUAUAUAGUUUAAGCCUAUAGCAUAAGAAUAAGCCACAAUAUGCUAACAUGUUUACCACAACAGCAUUUAAAAGCACUAAUUUCAUCAGAUCGUCCAGCUCUCCAGAGGCUGGCUGGCUGGCUGUCAGCGCACCCUGGGGUGGUCUGGUAAUGAGCUGCCAUUAGCACCUAAUCAGACCAUUAUCCAGGCUGCAGCCUCCAUCUGCAAUGCUCUGUUUUACCUUUCAGUGUAGGUGGACAGGAGGGACAGAGGUAGCUUGUCUCUGUGCGUGUGUGUGUGAGCGUGUGUGAGUGUGAGCAUGUCAUACAUGUGUUUCAGCAGCUGCAGGUCUGUGUGUCUUUGUUUGAAGCGUGGGGGCGUCACCCUGCGCGUCUCUUUCAGAGGGAAGUAUUACUAGUGACGUGUGACCUUUCAUAGACCGAGCGGUAAGCGGGGCGAUCCUGGAGCCGGCCGAGUCCCGCAGCCGCCUGAUCUGCAGCGAUGAUGUAAGAGCCGGGCCGGCUUCAUCAUGAGAGCUCGGACAUGAUUAUUGUAUCACGAUUGUCAUCGUGUGACUUAAUGAUUAUUAAUGAUUCAUUUUUAGGAGAUAAAAUUCAGCAAAAGUUA